UAUCAAUAAGCGGAGGAAAAGAAACUAACAAGGAUUCCCCUAGUAACUGCGAGUGAAGCGGGAAAAAGCUCAAAUUUAAAAUCUGGCAGUCUUUGGCUGUCCGAGUUGUAAUCUGGAGAAGUGUUUUCCGCGCUGGACCGUGUACAAGUCUCUUGGAACAGAGCGUCAUAGAGGGUGAGAAUCCCGUCUUUGACACGGACUACCAGUGCUUUGUGAUGCGCUUUCAAAGAGUCGAGUUGUUUGGGAAUGCAGCUCAAAAUGGGUGGUAAAUUCCAUCUAAAGCUAAAUAUUGGCGAGAGACCGAUAGCGAACAAGUACCGUGAGGGAAAGAUGAAAAGCACUUUGGAAAGAGAGUUAAACAGUACGUGAAAUUGUUGAAAGGGAAACGCUUGAAGUCAGUCGCGUUGUUCAGAACUCAGCCUGACUUUUGUCUGGUGUAUUUUCUGUUCGACGGGCCAGCAUCAAUUUUGACCAUUGGAAAAGGGCCAGAGGAAUGUGGCACCUUCGGGUGUGUUAUAGCCUUUGGUCGCAUACAAUGGUUGGGAUUGAGGAUCUCAGCAUGCCUUUUGGCCGGGGUUCGCCCACGUUCAUGCUUAGGAUGCUGGCGUAAUGGCUUUAAACGACCCGUCUUGAAACACGGACCAAGGAGUCUAACAUGCCUGCGAGUAUUUGGGUGGAAAACCCGAGUGCGUAAUGAAAGUGAAAGUUGGGAUCUCUGUCAUGGGGAGCACCGACGCCCGGACCAGACCUUUUGUGACGGCUCCGCGGUAGAGCAUGUAUGUUGGGACCCGAAAGAUGGUGAACUAUGCCUGAAUAGGGUGAAGCCAGAGGAAACUCUGGUGGAGGCUCGUAGCGAUUCUGACGUGCAAAUCGAUCGUCAAAUUUGGGUAUAGGGGCGAAAGACUAAUCGAACCAUCUAGUAGCUGGUUCCUG
rnacentral:rRNA from 1 species